rnacentral:misc_RNA from 1 species
AACGCACCUUGCGCCCUUUGGUAAUCCGAAGGGCAUGCCUGUUUGAGUGUCUUUAACAACAUCAAAAGUAUCCGUCUCCCUUUCGAGGGGGAGGGAGAACUUGGACGUGAGCGCUGCCGUGAUCUCGUCUCCGGCUCGCUCGAAAACCGUUAAGCCGACCCUUUGGGAGUUAACCGUCCGCGUUGGUGUGGUAGACGAAGCCUCCUCGCCUCGCCCUCGGGACGACGCCCAUUCGCGUCUCGGCUUUCCCUUUCGAAAGCCCUUUCGAAUUUUGAAACUCGGACCUCAAAUCAGGUAGGACUACCCGCUGAACUUAA